UGAAGGACUCGGAUGACGUGCCCAUGGUGCUGGUGGGGAACAAGUGUGACCUGGCUGCACGCACUGUGGAAUCUCGGCAGGCUCAGGACCUCGCCCGAAGCUACGGCAUCCCCUACAUCGAGACCUCGGCCAAGACCCGGCAGGGCAGCCGCUCUGGCUCUAGCUCCAGCUCCGGGACCCUCUGGGACCCCCCGGGACCCAUGUGACCCAGCGGCCCCUCGCGCUGGAGUGGAGGAUGCCUUCUACACGUUGGUGCGUGAGAUCCGGCAGCACAAGCUGCGGAAGCUGAACCCUCCUGAUGAGAGUGGCCCCGGCUGCAUGAGCUGCAAGUGUGUGCUCUCCUGACGCAGCACAAGCUCAGGACGUGGAGGUGCCGGAUGCAGGGAGGAGGUGCAGACGGAAGAAGGAGGAAGGAAGGACGGAAGCAAGCAAGGAAGGAAGGGCUGCUGGAGCCCAGUCACCCCGGGACCGUGGGCCGAGGUGACUGCAGACCCUCCCAGGGAGGCUGUGCACAGACUGUCUUGAACAUCCCAAAUGCCACCGGAACCCCAGCCCUUAGCUCCCCUCCCAGGCCUCUGUGGGCCCUUGUCGGGCACAGAUGGGAUCACAGUAAAUUAUUGGAUGGUC
rnacentral:sRNA from 1 species